CGAACUGGUGAGUAACACGUGGGAAACCUGCCCAGAAGCGGGGGAUAACACCUGGAAACAGAUGCUAAUACCGCAUAACAACUUGGACCGCAUGGUCCGAGCUUGAAAGAUGGCUUCGGCUAUCACUUUUGGAUGGUCCCGCGGCGUAUUAGCUAGAUGGUGGGGUAACGGCUCACCAUGGCAAUGAUACGUAGCCGACCUGAGAGGGUAAUCGGCCACAUUGGGACUGAGACACGGCCCAAACUCCUACGGGAGGCAGCAGUAGGGAAUCUUCCACAAUGGACGAAAGUCUGAUGGAGCAACGCCGCGUGAGUGAAGAAGGGUUUCGGCUCGUAAAACUCUGUUGUUAAAGAAGAACAUAUCUGAGAGUAACUGUUCAGGUAUUGACGGUAUUUAACCAGAAAGCCACGGCUAACUACGUGCCAGCAGCCGCGGUAAUACGUAGGUGGCAAGCGUUGUCCGGAUUUAUUGGGCGUAAAGCGAGCGCAGGCGGUUUUUUAAGUCUGAUGUGAAAGCCUUCGGCUCAACCGAAGAAGUGCAUCGGAAACUGGGAAACUUGAGUGCAGAAGAGGACAGUGGAACUCCAUGUGUAGCGGUGAAAUGCGUAGAUAUAUGGAAGAACACCAGUGGCGAAGGCGGCUGUCUGGUCUGUAACUGACGCUGAGGCUCGAAAGUAUGGGUAGCAAACAGGAUUAGAUACCCUGGUAGUCCAUACCGUAAACGAUGAAUGCUAAGUGUUGGAGGGUUUCCGCCCUUCAGUGCUGCAGCUAACGCAUUAAGCAUUCCGCCUGGGGAGUACGGCCGCAAGGCUGAAACUCAAAGGAAUUGACGGGGGCCCGCACAAGCGGUGGAGCAUGUGGUUUAAUUCGAAGCUACGCGAAGAACCUUACCAGGUCUUGACAUACUAUGCAAAUCUAAGAGAUUAGACGUUCCCUUCGGGGACAUGGAUACAGGUGGUGCAUGGUUGUCGUCAGCUCGUGUCGUGAGAUGUUGGGUUAAGUCCCGCAACGAGCGCAACCCUUAUUAUCAGUUGCCAGCAUUAAGUUGGGCACUCUGGUGAGACUGCCGGUGACAAACCGGAGGAAGGUGGGGAUGACGUCAAAUCAUCAUGCCCCUUAUGACCUGGGCUACACACGUGCUACAAUGGAUGGUACAACGAGUUGCGAACUCGCGAGAGUAAGCUAAUCUCUUAAAGCCAUUCUCAGUUCGGAUUGUAGGCUGCAACUCGCCUACAUGAAGUCGGAAUCGCUAGUAAUCGCGGAUCAGCAUGCCGCGGUGAAUACGUUCCCGGGCCUUGUACACACCGCC
rnacentral:rRNA from 2 species